UGGCUGCACGCGCACCAUAAAAAUAUGAAAUAUAAUACUGUCCAAGCUUGAUGUAGAUUCAGUUGAAAACUUUUGGAACACUGAGCCAAUGACUGCACCAGAUGGCUAUGUGCUAGUGGGUUUCAUAAGACUACAGCCAUAACGUUUUGAACCUAAAAGACUUACCGUUAUGGACCGGAGUAAGCAAGAAGGGGUCGGGUAGAGGUUGCAUAAAGUAAUGUCUAAUUGGUCAGAAAUGUAUGGUACGUUACAGAGUGCUACAGAAACAGACUGGUCCAAGGAUCUCCAGAGCCUUCUAACCAACUACCUGCGAUCUCUCCAGAGCACAGAGAAGUGAGUCUGCUGGGCUAUGGAGCUCAACAGACCUGUCAUCAACAGACCUGCCACCUAUGUUGCCAGCUAUCCUCAGACUUUCACCGGCCACAUAAUGGAUAAGAACAAAUGCUAUAGUUUUGUAUAAAAAAAGAAAAAAAUAUAUUUAAAAAAGAUUACAAAACAAUAACUUUUUCAUAGAAUGUUUGUUAUGUUGGUUUUUAAAUUUGUAUUAAUUUAUGUAAACAUCCAGACAAAUACACUUAUUAUUUAAAAGAUCUAAAAUAAGUCAUGUCCAGAGUGAAUCAAUUUGUAUCCAUGUAUAUCAUACAGGUGUCUCAGCUAAAAUAUAUAUCUCUGACAAGAUUAAAGAAUGGGACAAAGUGAUAAGUCGG